AGAGUUUGAUCCUGGCUCAGGACGAACGCUGGCGGCGUGCCUAACACAUGCAAGUCGAGCGGAGAAGGCAAAGAAGUUUACUUUGAUGUUUUCUCAGCGGCGGACGGGUGAGUAACACGUGGGCAACCUGCCUCAGAGAGGGGAAUAGCCUUCCGAAAGGAAGAUUAAUACCGCAUAAGAUCACGGCAUCGCAUGGUGCAGUGAUAAAAGGAGCAAUCCGCUUUGAGAUGGGCCCGCGGCGCAUUAGCUAGUUGGUGAGGUAACGGCUCACCAAGGCCACGAUGCGUAGCCGACCUGAGAGGGUGAUCGGCCACAUUGGAACUGAGACACGGUCCAGACUCCUACGGGAGGCAGCAGUGGGGAAUAUUGCACAAUGGGCGCAAGCCUGAUGCAGCAACGCCGCGUGAGUGAUGAAGGCUUUCGAGUCGUAAAGCUCUUUGAUCAGGGACGAUAAUGACGGUACCUGAAAAACAAGCCACGGCUAACUACGUGCCAGCAGCCGCGGUAAUACGUAGGUGGCGAGCGUUGUCCGGAAUUACUGGGCGUAAAGGAUGCGUAGGUGGAUAUUUAAGUGGGAUGUGAAAUCCCUGGGCUCAACCCAGGAAUGGCAUUCCAAACUGGAUAUCUGGAGUGCAGGAGAGGAAAGCGGAAUUCCUAGUGUAGCGGUGAAAUGCGUAGAUAUUAGGAGGAACACCAGUGGCGAAAGCGGCUUUCUGGACUGUAACUGACACUGAGGCAUGAAAGCGUGGGUAGCAAACAGGAUUAGAUACCCUGGUAGUCCACGCCGUAAACGAUGGGUACUAGGUGUAGGAGGUAUCGACCCCUUCUGUGCCGUCGUUAACACAAUAAGUACCCCGCCUGGGGAGUACGGUCGCAAGACUAAAACUCAAAGGAAUUGACGGGGGCCCGCACAAGCAGCGGAGCAUGUGGUUUAAUUCGAAGCAACGCGAAGAACCUUACCAGGGCUUGACAUGCCUCUGACCAUCCUAGAGAUAGGAUUUUACCUUCGGGUACAGGGGGCACAGGUGGUGCAUGGUUGUCGUCAGCUCGUGUCGUGAGAUGUUGGGUUAAGUCCCGCAACGAGCGCAACCCCUGUUUUUAGUUGCUAACAAGUAAUGUUGAGCACUCUAAAGAGACUGCCGAUGAUAAAUCGGAGGAAGGUGGGGAUGACGUCAAAUCAUCAUGCCCUUUAUGUCCUGGGCUACACACGUGCUACAAUGGUCGGUACAACGAGCAGCCACUUAGUGAUAAGGAGCGAAUCUCUAAAAGCCGAUCCCAGUUCGGAUUGUAGGCUGCAACUCGCCUACAUGAAGUUGGAGUUGCUAGUAAUCGCGGAUCAGAAUGUCGCGGUGAAUGCGUUCCCGGGUCUUGUACACACCGCCCGUCACACCAUGGAAGUUGGCAAUACCCGAAGCCAGUGAGCUAACCGUAAGGAGGCAGCUGUCGAAGGUAGGGUUAAUAACUAGGGUGAAGUCGUAACAAGGUAACC
rnacentral:rRNA from 1 species